UGGAGAUCCGAUAGACUUCCAAAAAAGGUAAAAUAUGUUCCGAAGCACCCCGACUGCCAGCGUAGUGAAGAAGUGUCUGGCAGAAGCCGCGGCAGUAGGCCCGGGACGACGCCUCCGAGACCUCCUGCUCGCACAGCUCCGUCUGCAGCUGCCACAGCCGACCCCGCAGCGCCGCCACCAGCCGCGCCAUCUCGGCCCGCGGAGCCGCCUCGGCCUCAG
rnacentral:lncRNA from 1 species